CGUAAAUCUAGGAACAAGACUCCAUUUAUGAGACCUCAAUUUAUUAAUAUUUAGGAGUCACUUAUUUGUAUAGCAUUUAACAUGGACGUUCCAGUUCAAUGGAAUUUUUUUCGAAAUCCAAAUUGGUUACCUGACAGAACGUUGGUCUCAUUUAUGUAUGAAAUUAACUGAUUGCAAACAGUUUUUACUAAAAUUUUCGCAAUAAUCGAUAAAAU